AUGACUGAUCAGAAAGGUAAAAAUUUUGAUUGUACAUUACUUAAGUCUACAAUUUCACUGUUUCCUAGGAAGUUCUAUUUCUCAGCUGAAUGGAACUGUACACAGAUACAAGAAACCGAGCAACUCUACAGCACUGUAGAUUUGCUUAGAACAUAUCCUCAUCUUCUGAACGCAGUAUAUUCUAGAGCACGUCAGCAACCUUUUCCUGUAAAGAUCCAGAUCACUGACCUCACAUGCUUCCUGAAGCCACCUGUUACCACCUGGAGUCACAAGACUGUGAGGAGUUGCACUUUGACAUCGCAGCCUCGCCCUAUGACAGGCUUCAAGUGCACAUUUGUGCUGACCUGCGACAUCCGGCAGCUGAGUGCCAUCUGCUCCCACACCAGCGCCAUGUCCACCUUACAGACGGAGCAGAUGGAUGAACCACAGCCCCGUGGGGUCUGACGUGGAGCAGCUGGCAUAACAGAAUGGCUUCGUGAUUGGUGCCUUCCCUGACAUUCAAAGGGAGCAUCCUGAGUGCUGCAGGACUCUACUUUCUGUCUCUUUUGGAAUUGUGUUGGGGACAAUUAUCAGAGGUAACACUCCUGGUUGGGAGGUCAGGAAGGAUUAGCAUGGUUAGUGUUCUCUCAUGAAAAUCACCAACAUACACAUGGAGCCAUGGUAGUUCACUGAGCACAAGGCAGUCUCACAGGACGGAGACCAGUGUCGUGGUCUUGUUGUAUAAAUCUCAGUAUGUUUUGCCCCUGCUUCCUCUCACCCUCCAUCCACAUCACAUUACUCUUCCUUUUAAUUCUUUAAUUUCCUCUGCCUGGAACACACUUUUCCUUUUUUAAAUCUAGCUAAUCCCAAUCCAGCGCAACUGACUUCUCCUCACAGAAGGAGUCUCUGGUCUUGCAAGCUGGGCCAGAUCUAGAUCACACAGUUUCACAGCACCUGCAUUUUUGUUUUAGCACUUUUUCACAGUUUGAAAUUUGAGAUUUUUAAAUUUUUUUUUUCAGGCAUAGAAUUUACCUGCUACUCUUAUGCUUCUCAAGGCUACAUGGUGCUCAAUAAAUAUCUGUAGAGAGAAGAAAGGAAGGAAGGAAGGAAGGGAAGGAAGGAAGGGAGGGAGGGAGGGACUGAGUAUGGAAAAUCAAAAGGAGACGGAGAAAAGUAAGGCAGCAAGGAAAAACAAACACAGCACGAAGAGGCAAGGUUUAAGAAUGUAGCGCAUGCUUCGGUCUUACCAGAUUUAGGCUGGUUAUAGAGGACACAUCACAACCCAGCUCCUGUAACUACGGAAAGGCUGCCAUCUUCCUGGAGCUGGCCUACGUUUUCCCAUUCAAGCCACCACUAGAGAACCAAUGACCUCUAGCACAGCACUCAGGGACAAUUAUUCAAUACUAGAAAUAGAAUUUUGUCCUGUGAAAACUUCUGGGACUGCAUCUAGUUAUUUUAUAGAAAUAUACACAUUUCAAAUGGAGACAAUAAAAUUUUAAGAUCAAAUAUUUUUAAAAGUCACAGUGCCAUAUCAAGUCUUCUUUGAAUUUUUAAACUCCCUUUGAGGUCUACACCAGUAAUUCCUAAUGAAGGACCAGGGACCCCUUGCAAAUUGCGCAGUUAUUGCUAAGGGAUGAAAAUGCACACACACAGUAAAUACUGCCCGC
ensembl:lincRNA